rnacentral:rRNA from 1 species
CCUACGGGGGGCAGCAGUGGGGGAUAUUGCACAAUGGGGGGAACCCUGAUGCAGCGACGCCGCGUGGGUGAAGAAGCGCCUCGGCGCGUAAAGCCCUGUCAGCAGGGAAGAAAAUGACGGUACCUGAAGAAGAAGCCCCGGCUAACUACGUGCCAGCAGCCGCGGUAAUACGUAGGGGGCAAGCGUUAUCCGGAUUUACUGGGGGUAAAGGGGGCGGAGACGGCGUGGCAAGCCAGGAGUGAAAGCCCGGGGCCCAACCCCGGGACUGCUCUUGGAACUGCGUGGCUGGAGUGCAGGAGGGGCAGGCGGAAUUCCUGGUGUAGCGGUGAAAUGCGUAGAUAUCACGCAGAACACCGAUUGCGAAGGCAGCCUUCCGGCGCCCUACUGACGCUGAGGCACGAAAGUGCGGGGAGCGAACAGGAUUAGAUACCCCUGUAGUC